UCUACUCUAGGAAUUGCUUUUGUUGUAACAGUUUGCAAUUUGUAACGCGCGUAUAAUAGGCAAUAAAUUAUAUUUUCGUGACUAUUACCGAUAAGAGAGUGCAUAGCGAUUCACUCAUUAAGUAAUUACAAAUGAAACGCUAAAACCAAAAGCAUGUAUAAGUGCAGAGGAUCCGGGAAAAAGCAUUAUAGGUAGAGUUGAAAAAAACCUUCAAACAAACUCACUGUCCAUUUGUGUUUUCUGAAUGCAGACCUAAUGGGUUUUCGAGCAACAACCAACGUCAACCUCAAAGAAAAGCCAUUGUCUAAGCUUAACAAUUUCCGCAGUUGUUAAGAAAAUAACUAUUAAUUACGACGAAAAAUGUUAUGAAAUAACAAUUAUUACAGCAAAUAAUAAAAAUUAAAAUAAAGAAUUUUAAUUUUU